GCAGGCUCUAUGUAACGACCAAACACAGCGACAAUGUGGGCAUCGGGAUGUCCCAUUUAAACGCAGGGCGCCAACGGGGACCCCAGUUUGCACCCGAAAAAGAACCCAUCCACGCACACGGCGAGGCUGGCCGUGCCGGGGGAGGAGGACGAAGUCCUUUCCUAACACUAAAACUUUUGCUGCUGCGUUUUAAAAAGCACUUCCCGUACCUGGCUGACAGGUAAGGGGAGCAGGGGUGGUGGUGGCACAGCCCCGUGCACCCCGAAACUGCUCACCCCUUCCUGGAGCAGUGCUGGAGUGACUUCAGGUUUCG